rnacentral:tRNA from 1 species
AGUUAAUGAACUUGUAAAGUAUGUAUUUUGAAAAUACAAAAAAGAGACAACCCAGUCCCUAUUAACUU